CAGCCGCCGCGGGAAUACGUAGGUCCCGAGCGUUGUCCGGAUUUAUUGGGCGUAAAGCGAGCGCAGGCGGUUAGAAAAGUCUGAAGUGAAAGGCAGUGGCUCAACCAUUGUAGGCUUUGGAAACUGUUUAACUUGAGUGCAGAAGGGGAGAGUGGAAUUCCAUGUGUAGCGGUGAAAUGCGUAGAUAUAUGGAGGAACACCGGUGGCGAAAGCGGCUCUCUGGUCUGUAACUGACGCUCAGGUGCGAAAGCGUGGGGAGCAAACAGGAUUAGAUACCCCUGUAGUCCCUGUCUCUUAUACA
rnacentral:rRNA from 1 species